CUACGGGAGGCACCAGUGAGGAAUAUUGCACAAUGGGGGGAACCCUGAUGCAACAACGCCGCGCGGAGGAUGACGCAUUUCGGUGUGUAAACUCCUUUUAUAUGUCAAGAAAAUGACGGUAGCAUAUGAAUAAGCACCGGCUAACUCCGUGCCAGCAGCCGCGGUAAUACGGAGGGUGCAAGCGUUACUCGGAAUCACUGGGCGUAAAGGACGCGUAGGCGGGUUGGAAAGUCAGGUGUGAAAUCCUACAGCUUAACUGUAGAACUGCACUUGAAACUUCUAAUCUAGAGUAUGGGAGGGGGAGAUGGAAUUAGUGGUGUAGGGGUAAAAUCCGUAGAUAUCACUAGGAAUACCUAAAGCGAAGGCGAUCUCCUGGAACAUUACUGACGCUAAGGCGUGAAAGCGUGGGGAGCAAACAGGAUUAGAUACCCUCGUAGUC
rnacentral:rRNA from 1 species